rnacentral:rRNA from 1 species
AUUGAACGCUGGCGGCAUGCCUUACACAUGCAAGUCGAACGGCAGCACGGGUGCUUGCACCUGGUGGCGAGUGGCGAACGGGUGAGUAAUACAUCGGAACGUACCUUAUCGCGGGGGAUAACGCAGCGAAAGCUGUGCUAAUACCGCAUACGCCCUGAGGGGGAAAGCGGGGGAUCGAAAGACCUCGCGCGAUUAGAGCGGCCGAUGCCUGAUUAGCUAGUUGGUGAGGUAAAGGCUCACCAAGGCGACGAUCCGUAGCUGGUUUGAGAGGACGACCAGCCACACUGGGACUGAGACACGGCCCAGACUCCUACGGGAGGCAGCAGUGGGGAAUUUUGGACAAUGGGGGCAACCCUGAUCCAGCCAUUCCGCGUGUGCGAUGAAGGCCUUCGGGUUGUAAAGCACUUUUGGCAGGAAAGAAAUCGCACGGAUUAAUACUCUGUGUGGAUGACGGUACCUGCAGAAUAAGCACCGGCUAACUACGUGCCAGCCGCCGCAGUAA